AUUCCCCUCCGGGAUCCCGGCAAUUUCCCCGCGCCCGCAGCCCCGCGGGAUUCUCCCACGCGGAGUCCACAAGGUGCCUUUGGAAGCCCGUUGCUUGGGGUUUUCCGGCCCGGGUUAGCCCAAUUCCCCCGAGGAAUAGUUCCCGGCCUGUGGACAUCGGGGAGCCCUCCCCGUCUCUCACAACUCACGGAGUCGAGCGGGAGAGCGCCGCCGCCGGCUGCCGAUCUCCUCCGGGGACCUCGUGACGGCAGCGCCUCCUUCACCGGAGUCUCUACGGCAACCACAUCCUUCGCAUCAGAGCAUUUGCUGCAAACAGUGCAUAGAAGGUAGAAGUUAUUUCGUGACAGGAGUGGCACAAAUGCAGAUUGGCGAAAGUAGAUUAUGGUGUUGCUGGUGACUUUGGGAUCACAGAUAUUGGUGCUAGAGUUCUUCCUAGUGUCUUUUUUUUGUUCCAGAUUGAAAAUGGGCAAAUAAAUUUCUGGUCUCAUUUUAUUUUGUAUUAUCUAUCUCGAUAUUUGCAUGAACAUGACCAUAUGUAAGCCAUUCAUUUCAGUUGGCAGUAUAUCUUGCUAUUGUGAAGGCCACAUGAUCA